GACGAGGGGUCCUAGCGUUGUUCGGAAUCACUGGGCGUAAAGCGUUUGUAGGCGGCUCUAUAAGUCGGGUGUGAAAUCCCAUGGCUCAACCAUGGAAGUGCAUUCGAAACUGCAGAGCUUGAAUAUGGAAGAGGAGAGUAGAAUUCCUGGUGUAGUGGUGAAAUACGUAGAUAUCAGGAGGAAUACCGGUGGCGAAGGCGGCUCUCUGGUCCAAUAUUGACGCUGAGAAACGAAAGUGCGGGGAUCAAACAGG
rnacentral:rRNA from 1 species